CCUUGUUAGACACCGGAAAAGAAGAUGAGUCCUAUUCUCUCUAUUCUUUUGUGGGCAAUUGUGAGCCCCAUCAUUCUUGGAGCUAACACGGUCAAGGACGUUAUUCAAGCCCCAGCAUCAACAUCUGUACAGGAGGGGGAAGCUGUGACUCUGAGCUGCAGGGGCAAGAGGGCAAGACAAGUUGGAGCAGAGUCCAUCGACCUUGAGAAUCCAGGAGGGAGAGA